rnacentral:lncRNA from 1 species
GGACACUUAAAAGGUACACAAACAGUGCAGGCUGCGUUUCUCCUCCGUCAUGCUUUUCCUCAGCAAGGUCACCUGUGAGGACUCAGAACACAUCCUUAAUACAUUCAGAGUUCUCUACAUUCCAGUCAGGAAACAUUAAUCCUCCAACAUAAACUCGAGAGGGAACAGGCAGCCACAACACGGACGGACUCUAACUUCAAAGGGGCAAAAGCUACCAAGACAUCUCCAUAGAGACCCCACCAAGGUGGGGCGGCAAUUCCGGUCACUGCCGAGCAAACCUCGUCACAGAUAUUGUGUGGUCAUUUAAAGGGUAUUUCAUUUUCAUUCUGAUGCCAGGAGCGGGAUGUCCUGUUUUGAAGUGCUAAUGCAAAAGGGCUACCCCAGGAGCACCGAACUCUGUCCGGAGGACCGGACCCCAUGGGGUGCACAGGGCUUACUCCCCUUCUGCAAGGUGACCUAGGAGUUUACUGCUGACUGACCCCCAUUUGCGGGUGGUCCGCCUCUGGCUCCUCCUCCUCCACAUCCGCACUGUACUCUUCAAACGCGUCGUCAUCUGCGUCUGGAAGCCCCAGCAACUGGAGAGAAGAAAUUGGACAAGAAAAGCAGCAGCUGUAAGCAUUGCAGGCAGAAGCCCAAAGGCGUCACACACCCAAAUUCACCUGCUUAGCACUGCGAGUGCAACCCUGGACUCACCUCCCCCACCUGGGCAGUUACAAAUUUAACAGGGAACACACUGAGUCUUCAUGGUCUGUUGAUUCCACUGGCGACCUUGGGGAGGCACGCCCCCGCAAACCACACAUGUGGUAGAUGUGCAUGCCUCUCCCACGGUGUUGGUGAGUCACACCACAAGCAUUGCCUAUGUCCCCAAAUCAAUCCUCUGCUAAAUUCCUCCCCCACCCACCCCGCAACACUUGCAGUUAUUUAUGAUAAGUGGCACAUAGACAUAUGAUGAGUAGCAAAGGGUUAAAUUUUAUGGCAUGUUAGUAAGAUAACAUCAUACGUAGACUUAAAACUGAAUCUUAAAAUUACUUAAUGAUAUAAGAUGAGUAUAAAAUGUAAAAAUAGUCAAUUAUGAUAUAGUUUGUCUCAAAAUUCAUAUGGAUGCACAUAGAAAAAGAACUGCAAUUAAAUAUAUUCAAAUGUUGAGUUUUCUUUU